GGUGAACAGAAGUUUUUCGCGAGGUUCUUUAGUAAUUCUUUGAAGAUAAUUUGUACUAAGUACAUUUAUUUUAGUUUAAUACUUUUUGAUCGCAAGGUUUGCGUUACGGGUGUCAGUACGUCUGACCAUUUCGCGAAGAAUUUUAAAUAGUGUUUAGUGAAACGUACAAAAGCGCUUAGGCGCUUUUUGGUACGGGCUGGAGUUCGACUAGAAGUGGAACCGGGGAGCACCGUAGAAGUUUGGAACCCUUCCCGUCCGUGGGAAUCGGAUAGUGUAGAGCUUGUGCAUCCGUCAAGGCCCGCCUUUUAGGUAGCUAAACGGAGGGGAGCGAAGUCGCUCGUUAGAGCAGCGAAAGUGCCCGACGGUAGUCAACCAACCGUCGGCUUGAUCCAUACACGCCAUUUUCCCCGUGGAUCGAUAUCCUGCCAGAGCGCGGUCCCCGCACGUCGUAAACUAUCGUGCGCAGGACCGGACUGGAACCAAUAGUUGGGAGUUCCAUUUUUAGCCUCGCACGGUCAUAGCGGAAAGGUACGCGAAGCCGGGUCGUAGGAAA